GGUCGGGAGACCGUUAGCCUGGUAUUUAACGGUCUUCCUGCUCUGCUGAUGAUCAGCCUAACGGUGGUCCUCUUGGCAGAGUGCAGCAAGACGUGGACCUAGGUCUUAUUCUGUGGCCCUCCAGGCCCUUUGGCCUCAGGACCAUCGGGUGAGCUGGGGACCCAGAACAGGCUGAGAGGACUGUCUCACAGAACUCUGGAGCCCCCAUAAACGCCGGAGCCCCCCUCACCACCACCCACCGCCCAGGUCCAGACCUGGAAGCAGCCGGGAACCUCACCCCCAUCCCUGCUCUGGUUCCGGGAGUCCUCAGCAGCUGGAGGAUAUCACAGGACCAUUAAGGAGGUUUCAUCCAGAAGGCGAGAAGAAACAUCCCUCAGAUGCAAAGAACAUCAAGAACUAGCUGGAUGAAGACACUUUGUUGUUGCCCAAUUAAUAGGGUGAAUCCCUAUAACUGACUCAACUGAAGAGCUCCCUGAGGACCAGCUUGAGGAGCUAUCCAUUUCAACGUUGGAGGAAGAGGCUCUGCCCAAAUCCAUAGCAUGUGAACAAGCCAGUGAACACGCUCCCCAGGAGGACCUGGUGUUGGAACUGCCCCAGGCCAGGGCUGAGGAACCGCCUCUCCGACCCCUGGAGGAAUCCAGAGCAGCCUAUGAACACGCUCUCCAGGAGGACCUGGUGGUGAAACCGCGUGAGGCCUGGGCUAAGAAGCAGCCUCAGAGGACCCUGAAGGCAUAUGGAGCAGCCUAUGAACACGGUAAAUAUUCAGGGAUCAUCCCUCUUCUGAGAAACAACCCAGUUGAUCAAGGUGGGGCUCUGUUGCUGGCUCUGGUUGGAGAGACUUCACUGAGGACCUGCCAGUCAACCCACCAUGUGACAACACAGAAGACAUUGAGUAUUUCUCCAAGGUGGCCCUUUCAGGAUGUGAAACUGGGCUCUGACUCCACAAAGCACAGGGGAGAUCUGAGCCUAGAAGGAAGACCGGGGAGAUGCUGUGUGAGCCAAGUGGAGGAGGAGAAAUGGCCACUCCAGUUGAGUGCUGCCCUCAGACACCAGAUUCGUUCUACAGAAGUCAGUGGUGAUGAUGAGGAAGACUGGAAGAGCAAGAGUGAACAUGGGACCUGGGGUGAAAGGCUCUGCUCUGAAUCCCUGAAGACCUGGACCUGGACCCCAUCCUGGACCCCAGAGGUGGUGGAGCCCCCACAGCACCAGGAGCCUCAUCUGGACCAGAUCAGGGGAGGCCUCAUUGCCUCUCUCCUGAGAGUCCUCAUUUAGUACAGCUUCAGUUGUUUUGCUGCGUUGAUGUAGUAUUAGUUUUAUCUACAGUUUUAUCUUUAUGUUCUGUAUAUAUCUAUAUGUUCCAUAUUUAUAAGUAAGUUUUUUCAUUAAAUGUUUUUAUCUAUUUCAAAAUAACUUUUUGUAAGAACACAUAUGUAUAAAGUAACCCCCUCAACAGAGGUAGAACUUAAGAAAUUGUCAUAAGCCAGUCACCUUAGUGUCCACCACCAGGAUUAUUUCCCCCUUCACGCAACUCAGUCUUUGUUGUUUAAGGAACUGCAAAUUUAGUUCUAACAUCUAUCCUUCUGUCAUUGUCUUUAAGAAUUCUGUUUUCUCACAUCUGCUCAUUCCAGUGGUCAUAGGAGGUCAAUAUUACCCUAGAUCUUUCAAGACUUGCAUGUCAGGAUUUUUCAGAACUCAGUCUGCUUUCAGGGUAAAAAGUUCAUGAUCCAUCAUUGAUCUCCAUUUGUAGCUUAAGCAUGUUUCUCUCUUUUCUUCUAACACAGAGGAUUUCUCUCCAAAAAGGCUCUUUAAAUUUUAGUUGUCAUUCCUUAUAUUUCUCCUGCUCUUUUAUUCCAGCUGCCCAAAGGAUUAUUCUCAUUGACUAUAUUCUCAUGGUGUACAUUUUGUCUCCCAAACUCAUUUAUUUUAUAAGGUAUUUUUGUAAGUAUUAAUCUCUGUCAUGCAGCUCUCUCAUCACCAUAUCCCUCUCCUCUCUGGAAAAAACAUCUUUGUUCUCUGUUUCGAUGACUACAUUACUGUUUGGUUAUUUUGGUUCACUGGUUUUGAUUUUCAGUUUCCACAUUCAAGUGACAUCAUACUGUAUUUGUCACUCUGUCUGACUUAUUUUCCUUAGCAUAAAACCCUCUAGGUCCAUCCAUUUUCUCACAAAUGACAAGAUUUCAUUCUUCUUUUUGGCUGAGUAAUAAUCCAUGCAUACCACAGC
ensembl:lncRNA